rnacentral:rRNA from 1 species
CCUACGGGGGGCAGCAGUGAGGAAUAUUGGUCAAUGGCCGGAAGGCUGAACCAGCCAUGCCGCGUGAAGGUCAGUGCCCUAUGGGCGUUAAACUUCUUUUGUGCGGGAGCAAUAAUGGUCACGUGUGGCCAGACGAGAGUACCGUACGAAUAAGCAUCGGCUAACUCCGUGCCAGCAGCCGCGGUAAUACGGGGGAUGCAAGCGUUAUCCGGAUUUAGUGGGUUUAAAGGGUGCGUAGGCUGUGAGGUAAGGCAGCGGUGAAAUGCACACGCGCAACGGGGUGAAGUGCCAUUGAUACUGCCUUGCUGGAAUGCGGAUGCCGUGGGAGGAAUGUGUGGGGUAGCGGUGGAAUGCAUAGAUAUCACACAGAACACCGAUUGCGAAGGCAUCUCACGAAUCCGCGAUUGACAUUGAUGCUCGAAAGUGUGGGUAUCAAACAGGAUUAGAUACCCCAGGUAGUC